rnacentral:rRNA from 1 species
GGCGGCGACCGGCGCAAGGGUGCGUAACGCGUGAGCAACAUGCCCGUAUCAGGGGGGAUAAGUCCAGGGAAACUUGGUCUAAUACCCCAUAGUAAUUUUGUAAGGCAUCUUAUAAGAUUUAAAGCUUUGGUGGAUACGGAUUGGCUCGCGUGACAUUAGCUGGAUGGUAAGGUAACGGCUUACCAUGGCUAUGAUGUCUAGGGGUUCUGAGAGGAAGGUCCCCCCACACUGGAACUGAGACACGGUCCAGACUCCUACGGGAGGCAGCAGUGAGGAAUAUUGGACAAUGGAUGGAAAUCUGAUCCAGCCAUGCCGCGUGAAGGAAAAGAAGGUCCUAUGGAUUGUAAACUUCUUUUGUAUGGGAGCAAUAAGGCCUACGAGUAGGUUGAUGAGAGUACCAUACGAAUAAGCACCGGCUAACUCCGUGCCAGCAGCGGC